rnacentral:rRNA from 1 species
AGGACGAACGCUGGCGGCGCGCUUCAAGCAUGCAAGUCGAACGAGAUACCCGGGCUUGCCCGGGUGGAGAGUGGCGAACGGGUGAGUAACACGUGAGGAACCUGCCCCGAAGACCGGGAUAACGCCGGGAAACUGGUGCUAAUACCGGAUGCCCUCGCCGGAUCGCAUGGUCUGGCGAAGAAAUGGAUUCCGCUUCGGGAUGGCCUCGCGGCCUAUCAGCUAGUUGGUGGGUAACGCCCACCAAGGCAGCGACGGGUAGCUGGUCUGAGAGGAUGUCCAGCCACACUGGGACUGAGACACGGCCCAGACUCCUACGGGAGGCAGCAGCUAGGAAUCUUGCGCAAUGGACGAAAGUCUGACGCAGCGACGCCGCGUGCGGGAUGAAGGCCUUCGGGUUGUAAACCGCUUUCAGCAGGGACGAAAUUGACGGUACCUGCAGAAGAGGCCGCAACUACGUGCCAGCAGCCGC